CACACACGGCAACUGACGCGCACCACACAUCCGUGCGAUUGAUCAUAUAUACAAUUUUGCAAAAAUACACUUAGUAUGCACUUAGUUUCGACUAAGUAUCAGACCCAUGCGCAUCUCCUGAUAUUCCUGUAUUGUUACACUGGUUUUGGUUAAACGAACUAUAAAAAUGACUGUCUGUGCCGUGAAAUGGUGUGGAAAAUCAUCCAGCACCUCAAACUUUCAAAAAGAUGGAAUCACAUUUCACCGGUUUCCUAAAUGUCUUGAGCAAAAAAAUAAAUGGAUAGACGCAACUUCUCGAGACUAAAGUUGGUUGCCCACAAAUAAUAGUGUAAUUUGCUCAAGACAUUUCGCAGCAGAUAAUUUUCACAAUAUGAAAAAUCGAAGACGAUUACUUGAUACAGCUGUUCCAACUUUAUUUCUACCAUUAUUGAUUAACAGUCCUAUGCAAGACAUGGAAGUUCCGUCAACCUCUCAUAAUAAAACCAUCGUGAAGAUGCCCGAAAAAAAACGAACAUUGUCUACACAUACACAUUAGCUACUACUCCGUGCGCAUAUGAAUCUGCGCUUAAAAAACGACUUUGUCGAAGAAUAA